AAAGUGACUGAAAUCAUUACAUUUUAAAAGGUGACAUUUUCAUAGACAUGUCAAGUGACAGGAAGCCAUGUCAGGGGACAGGAAGCCAUGUCAGGGGACAGGAAGCCAUGUCAGGGGACAGGAAGCCAUGUCAGGGGACAGGAAGCCAUGUCAGGGGACAGGAAGCCAUGUCAGGGGACAGGAAGCCAUGUCAGGGGACAGGAAGCCAUGUCAAGUGACAGGAAGCCAUGUCAGGGGACAGGAAGACAUGUCAGGGGACAGGAAGCCAUGUCAGGGGACAGGAAGCCAUGUCAGGGGACAGGAAGCCAUGUCAGGGGACAGGAAGCCAUGUCAGGGGACAGGAAGCCAUGUCAGGGGACAGGAAGCCAUGUCAGGGGACAGGAAGCCAUGUCAGGGGACAGGAAGCCAUGUCAGGGGACAGGAAGCCAUGUCAGGGGACAGGAAGCCAUGUCAGGGGACAGGAAGCCAUGUCAGGGGACAGGAAGCCAUGUCAGGGGACAGGAAGCCAUGUCAGGGGACAGGAAGCCAUGUCAGGGGACAGGAAGCCAUGUCAGGGGACAGGAAGCCAUGUCAGGGGACAGGAAGCCAUGUCAGGGGACAGGAAGCCAUGUCAGGGGACAGGAAGCCAUGUCAGGGGACAGGAAUAGAAUGCUUUUGUGUGUUUGGCAGAGAGGAUUUGAUGUUAACUUUGACACUCACC